rnacentral:rRNA from 1 species
GACGAACGCUGGCGGCGUGCUUAACACAUGCAAGUCGAACGGAAAGGCCCUGCGUUUGUGGGGUUCUCGAGUGGCGAACGGGUGAGUAACACGUGAGUAACCUGCCCUUGACUUUGGGAUAACUUCAGGAAACUGGGGCUAAUACCGGAUAGGAGCUCCUGCUGCAUGGUGGGGGUUGGAAAGUUUAGGCGGUUGGGGAUGGACUCGCGGCUUAUCAGCUUGUUUGUUGGGUAGUGGCUUACCAAGGCUUUGACGGGUAGCCCGCCUGAGAGGGUGACCGGCCACAUUGGGACUGAGAUACGGACCAGACUCGUACGGGAGGCAGUAGGGGGGAAUAUUGCACAAUGGGCGGAAGCCUGAUGAAGCAACGCCGCGUGCGGGAUGACGGCCUUCGGGUUGUAAACCGCUUUCGCCUGUGACGAAGCGUGAGUGACGGUAAUGGGUAAAGAAGCACCGGCUAACUACGUG